rnacentral:tRNA from 1 species
UCUAAUAUGGCAGAUUAGUGCAAUGGAUUUAAACCCCAUAUAUAAAGUCUAUAACUUUUUUUAGAA